rnacentral:rRNA from 1 species
GAUGAACGCUGGCGGCGUGCCUAAUACAUGCAAGUCGAGCGAACAGACGAGGAGCUUGCUCCUCUGACGUUAGCGGCGGACGGGUGAGUAACACGUGGAUAACCUACCUAUAAGACUGGGAUAACUUCGGGAAACCGGAGCUAAUACCGGAUAAUAUAUUGAACCGCAUGGUUCAAUAGUGAAAGACGGUUUUGCUGUCACUUAUAGAUGGAUCCGCGCCGCUUUAGCUAGUUGGUAAGGUAACGGCUUACCAAGGCAACGAUGCGUAGCCGACCUGAGAGGGUGGUCGCCCACACUGGAACGGAGACACGGUCCAGACUCCUACGGGACGCAGCAGUAGGGAAUCUUCCGCAAUGGGCGAAAGCCUGACGGAGCAACGCCGCGUGAGUGAUGAAGGUCUUCGGAUCGUAAAACUCUGUUAUUAGGGAAGAACAAAUGUGUAAGUAACUAUGCACGUCUUGACGGUACCUAAUCAGAAAGCCACGGCUAACUACGUG